GAGAGAGAGAGAGAGAGAGAGAGGGAAUCAUUGAACUGCAUUCACAUGGGAGAGAGAGAGAGAGACAUGGGAAACAGCAUUGAUCCGUCGGCAGCUUUUGGGUGGAAUCGAGAGAUUGCACACUGUUGAUAAUCUAAAAGCAGUGUGAUAUAAAUGACAAUUGACAAAUGAGAGUGAGUUGGAUCUCACUUGUUCCCUGGAGUAGAAUCCAAUUUCCUCUCAACGGCUACCUACUCUGACUCCAAGCCAUGUGGGAGAGAGAUGAUUAAGGACGCACGAUUUCCGACAAAAGAACAUGGUACACAGAAGAAACGGGCGUCUAAAAAUUUCCCUAUUUUCAGUUGCCUGCAGCCCCGCGUGCAGAAAAGAUAUAUGAUUUUUUUUUUUGAUAAAAAAUAUAUGAGAGUACUUGAAGACCUUAUAGUUGGCUUAACUCUUGGCUCCAUAUUUAGUUAGGAUCAUAAAAAAAAAUGGACAUGAUUAGAAAAAUAAAUG
rnacentral:lncRNA from 1 species